rnacentral:piRNA from 1 species
UCUCAAAAAAUAGAAGCAUUA